rnacentral:lncRNA from 1 species
CUUGUUUGAAAAUCCAAAUCUUAUAAGCCUUGUCAUACAAUUGGAAUGUUAACAGACAGAAAACGUUUAUUGUGUACUGCAGGCCAAACAGGAAACGUCAUUGUUGGCUCCAAGCACGCCUCCAUCAGUUCGUUGCGACCUCACUCCCGCCGGCGAGACCGCCCUCCUCCUUCCACUCGUAUCUGCGGGCAGCUCUCCUUUGCAAGUCAUCUACGCAAACGCUGAACUGGUCCGCUGAUGUAGGCGUCAUAAGCGGGGUCAUAAGCGAGUGCUUCAUGCGGGGAAGAUGAGCAGUUCGUCCAAAAGUGUUGCCAUGGCGCACUUGACUCGCUCGGGAAAUCAGGCAGCCACGCGCCUAGGGACCCCAGACCCGGCAUCAAAAACGCUCUUCUUGUGCCAGGUGCAGGUUCAUAUAGCAACCGCUGCUACGUACCUCCUCUUCAGUCUCCCUGCAGAGUUUAUUUCCGGGACGCCAACGAGCAAUCGAACACCCGCUGCUCAUGCCUGCCUGCUGGCACCGCUGCCACUGCCAUCAUCAUGGCUAUCGCAUACAUGAACAACGCCCCACAGGCAAAUGGCAACCUAUCGCGUGGUCGCGAGGCGCCCCGAGUUUGGGUUUGGUCAGGGUGCGGUGUCUUUGUGGGACAUCCUUGUGCGCUUUCCGAACAUUUACAGGCGCCUGUCGUGAUAGUCAGCUUCCAAACCACCUUGCCAAAUCAUCGGGGCCUUAUCACCUGCCGCAUCGUACAGCAUCUAAGCACAUAGCCGUCGCCCCGUCCUUCCAGAGAGAAAAACUUUAACCUUUUCUUCGACCGGUUUUGUCAGUCACUUCAACCAAGGAAACAUUAUAAUCCCACUUUGGCAAGCUGCCAUCAGCCUCCUUACUCCAGGCCUUCCCGCUAAGUAUUCAGUUGGCCAACAGCAGCCACCGGCCCCACAGCCGCAACCCGCGAAACCCGACGUGCGCGGCCGCGGCGCCGCUCCAGCACGUGCUUUCCUUAGUGGGCUGGGCUCGCUUGUGGGGUGGCGCUACCGGCUUGCGGCGGCUGGGCUCCUCGGGUCGGCUACCGACAACACCGGAUAUCUACAGCAUGGACGUGCGUUCGCAGGUCGUUCAUGCAAUGAGAUCGUCUGGGUAGUACAUAUGAAUCAUAACGUCCAAUUAUACAAACAUGCGCAUGCAUAAGCGCAGCGUCCUGGCGAAUGUUUGCGGAAGACGCAGCUAAUAAGCCUGGCGGACGUCGUUUGCCGUGCCGCUAGUUUGUCCGUGGCGUCGAUCUGUGAAAAGAUUAUUACAUUAAUAUUGCGAAGACUGUUGGGAGUACAAGUCUAAUGGCGGCUUUGUUUUCAUUUGUCCUCUGCAGCAGGGUGUGCCCCUGUCCCUCUUUGUCUGGCCUGUGGUUUUACGCUCAGGCAGGCAGGGGGUUUGCUACACAUCGGGAGAGAAACAAUCACAAACAUUGGCCAUACGUACAUGUUAACUCACUGUUUCCAAAAAGAAACCUGACACGCUCACACCGGUACUACACCGCUGGCCCUUCAUACUUGGUGGUCUUGGCGUAUGGGGCGGCGCCAACUGAUGACUCCUCGGGUCGGCUUUUUAUGACACCCUCAGCUACCGCAGCAGCGUCUCGAGUGAGUUAAUCAUUCACUGAGUUUAUGACUAGUACAAAAUCACGUCACAAAGGAAUUAGAUUAUGAUUAUUGCAAAGUUCAGAGGAUUGCUUACAAAAGCGCAGCCUGACAAAACUACCCGACACGUGGCUGCAGUGAUAGCUCUUCCAAGGCGUUCAGCAGUGAUUGGCUGCCCAUCGUGUAUCGCAUUUUACUUCGUUUCUUGAGGAGUGCAAAGGGAAUCCGCGUGCAUUGUGGCGGCAACUUAACCAGGGGGCGACACCUGAUUGCCCAAUACGUGACGUCAACAGCUGGCGCGAUUAUUUUGACGCACUAUACAACGACGAGAUCAACGCUUUUAAUGAGGUUAGAGCGGAUUACAUGAUGAACCUCGUAAAUGGGUGCUCACUUACAAUACCGCGCGGCUGGGCUGGUGAGAGCUGCUUAGCCCGAAAUCAGAGAGUAGCUGCUGCGGCGGCCCUCAGUGCUCCGUUUACCUUGGCAGAGGUCAUUGCUGCACUAAAAAUGCUGGGCAACAAUAAAUCCCCAGGACUUGAAAGGGCCCCUGCUGAGUGCUAUAAGUAUGCCACUAGAAAGGUGGGCGAAAAGGAAGAGAUGUUGCUUGCACCGUAUUUGCUGCGUCUAUUGGAACAUAUCCGGUCGACUGGGGAUUACCCAAGGCAGUUCGAGAUAUCCGCCCUCACACCCAUCCACAAGAAGGGCGACGUC